rnacentral:rRNA from 1 species
GAUGAACGCUAGCGGCAGGCCUAAUACAUGCAAGUCGAACGAGAUUGAGGAGCUUGCUCCUCAUGAAAGUGGCGCACGGGUGCGUAACGCGUAUGCAAUCUACCUUAAUCAGGGGGAUAGCCCGGAGAAAUCCGGAUUAAUACCGCAUAACGUUAUUUUAUGGCAUCAUAGAAUAACCAAACAUUUAUGGGAUUAAGAUGAGCAUGCGUGACAUUAGUUAGUUGGUGAGGUAACGGCUCACCAAGACUACGAUGUCUAGGGGAUCUGAGAGGAUGACCCCCCACACUGGUACUGAGACACGGACCAGACUCCUACGGGAGGCAGCAGUAAGGAAUAUUGGUCAAUGGGUGCAAGCCUGAACCAGCCAUGCCGCGUGCAGGAAGACGGCCCUAUGGGUUGUAAACUGCUUUUAUUCGGGAAUAAACCUCUUUACGUGUAAGGAGCUGAAUGUACCGAAGGAAUAAGGAUCGGCUAACUCCGUGCCAGC